rnacentral:rRNA from 1 species
UUCCUACGGGGGGCAGCAGUGGGGAAUAUUGGGCAAUGGGCGCAAGCCUGACCCAGCAACGCCGCGUGAAGGAAGAAGGCUUUCGGGUUGUAAACUUCUUUUCUCAGGGACGAAGCAAGUGACGGUACCUGGGGAGGAAGCUCCGGCUAACUACGUGCCAGCAGCCGCGGUAAUACGUAGGGAGCAAGCGUUGUCCGGAAUUACUGGGUGUAAAGGGAGCGUAGGCGGGAUGGCAAGUUGGGUGUUAAAUCUACCGGCUCAACUGGUAGUCGCACUCAAAACUGCUAUUCUU